rnacentral:rRNA from 1 species
UACAGAGGGGGCAAGCGUUGUUCGGAAUUACUGGGCUUAAAGGGUGCGUAGGCGGCGCGGAAAGUUGGGUGUGAAAUCCCUCGGCUCAACCGAGGAAUUGCGCUCAAAACUACCGUGCUCGAGGGAGAUAGAGGAAUGCGGAACUUACGGUGGAGCGGUGAAAUGCGUUGAUAUCGUAGGGAACACCGGUGGCGAAAGCGGCAUUCUGGAUCUCUUCUGACGCUGAUGCACGAAAGCUAGGGUAGCAAACGGG